UACAGAGGGGGCAAGCGUUGUUCGGAAUUACUGGGCGUAAAGGGCGCGUAGGCGGCCCGCUAAGUCGAACGUGAAAUCCCCGAGCUCAACUCGGGAACUGCGUCCGAUACUGGCGGGCUUGAAUUCGGGAGAGGGAUGCGGAAUUCCAGGUGUAGCGGUGAAAUGCGUAGAUAUCUGGAGGAACACCGGUGGCGAAGGCGGCUAUCUGGCCCGUAAUUGACGCUGAGGCGCGAAAGCGUGGGGAGCAAACAGGG
rnacentral:rRNA from 1 species